GCCACUUUAGCUCAGCUGGUAGAGCAUCGCACUUGUAAUGCGAGGGUCAUCCGUUCAAGUCGGAUAAGUGGCU
rnacentral:tRNA from 1 species